rnacentral:rRNA from 1 species
CGCGCUGUAAACGAUGGAUGCUCGGUGUUGGGGGUAUCGACCCCCUCAGCGCCUUAGUUAACACGGUAAGCAUCCCGCCUGGGGAGUACGGCCGCAAGGUUAAAACUCAAAGGAAUUGACGGGGGCCCGCACAAGCGGUGGAGCAUGUUGUUUAAUACGUCACUAACCGUAGAACCUUACCAGGUCUUGACAUCCUAGGAACCUUUCGGAAACGGAGGGGUGCCCGCAAGGGAGCCUAGAGACAGGUGU